GCGAAGUUUGGCGCGCAGUGCGCGGCGUUCGCGGCGCUGCCGGUCGACAACGCCUGGCUCGACGCCGAGGCCGUCGUGC
rnacentral:tRNA from 1 species